CUCACUGUUAUAUGACUGGACAUAAAACACGGACGUUCACGGAGGCGCAUGUAAGACAUAUCCGUAGUAUGAUUGAUGACUAUGGCACUACUGUACACUGCAUGGAGCAAAUCUUGUCCGUAUUGACGACAUUUGGGAGAACAAGUUUCUAAAAAAAAUCUUCUUAGAAAUCUUAACGUAUCUGAUAGAUGGACUGGUUUAUCUGACCAGAGAGCUGAAGGAGUUUGGCGAUGGUAUGGUUCGAACAAACAUGUAGCCUUCUCGGAUUGGGGGCCUGGCGAGCCAAACAAUUACGAGAACAGCAAUGAGGACUGCGUAGGCUUUUUUCCUAAGCUGAAUUACGCUUGGAAUGAUUAUCCUUGCGAUGCAAAGAUCAGGCCAUUAUGCGAGAAGUCAUAAAAGAUUAUCUUCUAAUAUCACAUGGCACAAUAAAUAUCAGUUAAAGCAGAUACAAAUGUAUAUGAAAAUACAAAUGUAACCUGUAACUAUUCGACAGACAACCCUUUAUACAGUGCUUUCAUCAUUUCAUAUUAACGAUAUUCUGUAAACAGUUUUGUUGCAGUCUCUGUAAAUCCUAAUUUCUGAAAUGUUGUUCGAUAACGUCGAGCUUAUAAUUUAAUUCAAACUUUCUGAAUACUAUGUUAUGUGUUAUUUGUUGUAUUAUCGAUGUACUUAACGAACUUUAAAAAAUAAACAAAGGAAAACACUCUCUUACAAAAGAAUUUUAAAUGUACAUGCGUUCUGAUGAACAUUGAAAUUUUAAUUUUUGAAUACAGCCAUUGAUAUUAGAUAAU